rnacentral:rRNA from 1 species
CCUACGGGGGACAGCAGUGGGGAAUAUUGGACAAUGGGGGCAACCCUGAUCCAGCCAUGCCGCGUGUGUGAAGAAGGCCCUCGGGUUGUAAAGCACUUUCAGUGAGGAAGAACGCCUGGUGGUUAAUACCCAUCAGGAAAGACAUCACUCACAGAAGAAGCACCGGCUAACUCCGUGCCAGCAGCCGCGGUAAUACGGAGGGUGCGAGCGUUAAUCGGAAUUACUGGGCGUAAAGCGCGCGUAGGUGGUUUGAUAAGCCGGUUGUGAAAGCCCCGGGCUCAACCUGGGAACGGCAUCCGGAACUGUCAAGCUAGAGUGCAGGAGAGGAAGGUAGAAUUCCCGGUGUAGCGGUGAAAUGCGUAGAGAUCGGGAGGAAUACCAGUGGCGAAGGCGGCCUUCUGGACUGACACUGACACUGAGGUGCGAAAGCGUGGGUAGCAAACAGGAUUAGAUACCCUUGUAGUC